rnacentral:sRNA from 1 species
GGAGGAGGCCUUUCAGGCAUCCUCUCCUAAAACUUUCAGGCCGGUCCCAUAGGGAUCGGCCUUUUUUUCUUUGCGGA